UAGGGAAUCUUCCGCAAUGGACGAAAGUCUGACGGAGCAACGCCGCGUGAGUGAAGAAGGAUUUCGGUUCGUAAAACUCUGUUGUUAGGGAAGAAAAAAUGUAUAGUAACUAUAUACAAAAGAGACGGUACCUAACCAGAAAGCCACGGCUAACUACGUGCCAGCAGCCGCGGUAAUACGUAGGUGGCAAGCGUUGUCCGGAAUUAUUGGGCGUAAAGCGCGCGCAGGUGGUUUAGAAAGUCUGAUGUGAAAGCCCACGGCUCAACCGUGGAGGGUCAUUGGAAACUAAUAAACUUGAGUGCAGGAGAGAAAAGUGGAAUUCCUAGUGUAGCGGUGAAAUGCGUAGAGAUUAGGAGGAACACCGGUGGCGAAAGCGGCUUUUUGGCCUGCAACUGACACUGAGGCGCGAAAGCGUGGGAGCAAACAGG
rnacentral:rRNA from 1 species